GGGGGUGAGGGCGAUCUGGCUGUGACAUCUGUCACCCCAUUGAUCGCCAGGGUUAAUUCGGCAAAUCUGGAUGGCUGGGCCGGUGUCCCCUUCCUCCCUCAAACAUCCAUGUGCGUCCCUCCUGAAGCUGCGCGCUGGGUCGAAGAGGAUGAACACCCCCAUAGAGGAGGACCGUUCCUCGGUCAAGGGUACACGAGUAGCCGGCGUUCCCCUACUAGAACCUCCAAACAAGCUCUCAAGAAUUUAAAGGUGUUUCGUGUUGCUUAAAUUCCUAAUACAUCGUCCUGGCUAGUUAAUAUCCCUGUUAAUAUUCUGUGA
ensembl:misc_RNA 7SK 7SK RNA